UGCGAUGAUGAUGAGAAUUAUAAUCUGAUUUUGAUAUGAGAACAAACCUUCUCAUCCAUUCAUAAUUAUUUUGAGC